rnacentral:rRNA from 1 species
GGGGGGGGGGGGGGGGGGGGGGGGGGGAGGGGGGGCGGGGGGGGGGGGGGGGGGUGCGGCGGGAGGCAGCGGCGGACGGGGGGGGAAGGCCUAGGAGGCUGGCGGGGAGUGGGGGAUAACGUCCGGAAACGGGCGCUAAUACCGCAUACGUCCUGAGGGAGAAAGUGGGGGAGCUUCGGACCUCACGCUAUCAGAUGAGCCUAGGUCGGAUUAGCUAGUUGGUGGGGUAAAGGCCUACCAAGGCGACGAUCCGUAACUGGUCUGAGAGGAUGAUCAGUCACACUGGAACUGAGACACGGUCCAGACUCCUACGGGAGGCAGCAGUGGGGAAUAUUGGACAAUGGGCGAAAGCCUGAUCCAGCCAUGCCGCGUGUGUGAAGAAGGUCUUCGGAUUGUAAAGCACUUUAAGUUGGGAGGAAGGGCAGUAAGUUAAUACCUUGCUGUUUUGACGUUACCAACAGAAUAAGCACCGGCUAACUUCGUG